rnacentral:rRNA from 1 species
UGAACGCUGGCGGCGUGCUUAACACAUGCAAGUCGAACGAAGCACUCUAUUUGAUUUUCUUCGGAAAUGAAGAUUUUGUGACUGAGUGGCGGACGGGUGAGUAACGCGUGGGUAACCUGCCUCAUACAGGGGGAUAACAGUUGGAAACGACUGCUAAUACCGCAUAAGCGCACAGGAUCGCAUGAUCCGGUGUGAAAAACUCCGGUGGUAUGGGAUGGACCCGCGUCUGAUUAGCCAGUUGGCAGGGUAACGGCCUACCAAAGCGACGAUCAGUAGCCGACCUGAGAGGGUGACCGGCCACAUCGGGACUGAGACACGGCCCAAACUCCUACGGGAGGCAGCAGUGGGGUAUAUUGCACAAUGGGGGAAACCCUGAUGCAGCGACGCCGCGUGAGCGAAGAAGUAUUUCGGUAUGUAAAGCUCUAUCAGCAGGGAAGAAGAAUGACGGUACCUGACUAAGAAGCACCGGCUAAAUACGUGCCAGCAGCCGCGGUAAUACGUAUGGUGCAAGCGUUAUCCGGAUUUACUGGGUGUAAAGGGAGCGCAGGCGGUGCGGCAAGUCUGAUGUGAAAGCCCGGGGCUCAACCCCGGUACUGCAUUGGAAACUGUCGUACUAGAGUGUCGGAGGGGUAAGUGGAAUUCCUAGUGUAGCGGUGAAAUGCGUAGAUAUUAGGAGGAACACCAGUGGCGAAGGCGGCUUACUGGACGAUAACUGACGCUGAGGCUCGAAAGCGUGGGGAGCAAACAGG